rnacentral:rRNA from 1 species
AACGAACGCUGGCGGCAGGCCUAACACAUGCCAGUCGAGCGCCCCGCCAGGGGAGCGGCGGCCGGGUGAGUAACGCGUGGGAAUAUGCCCUUUGCUACGGAAUAGUCUCGGGAAACUGGGGGUAAUACCGUAUACGCCCUUUGGGGGAAAGAUUUAUCGGCGAAGGAUUAGCCCGCGUUGGAUUAGGUAGUUGGUGGGGUAAUGGCCUACCAAGCCGACGAUCCAUAGCUGGUUUGAGAGGAUGAUCAGCCACACUGGGACUGAGACACGGCCCAGACUCCUACGGGAGGCAGCAGUGGGGAAUCUUAGACAAUGGGGGCAACCCUGAUCUAGCCAUGCCGCGUGAGUGAUGAAGGCCUUAGGGUUGUAAAGCUCUUUCAGCUGGGAAGAUAAUGACGGUACCAGCAGAAGAAGCCCCGGCUAACUCCGUG